rnacentral:rRNA from 1 species
AUUGAACGCUGGCGGCAGGCCUAACACAUGCAAGUCGAGCGGAUGAAGAGAGCUUGCUCUCUGAUUCAGCGGCGGACGGGUGAGUAAUGCCUAGGAAUCUGCCUGGUAGUGGGGGACAACGUUUCGAAAGGAACGCUAAUACCGCAUACGUCCUACGGGAGAAAGCAGGGGACCUUCGGGCCUUGCGCUAUCAGAUGAGCCUAGGUCGGAUUAGCUAGUUGGUGAGGUAAUGGCUCACCAAGGCGACGAUCCGUAACUGGUCUGAGAGGAUGAUCAGUCACACUGGAACUGAGACACGGUCCAGACUCCUACGGGAGGCAGCAGUGGGGAAUAUUGGACAAUGGGCGAAAGCCUGAUCCAGCCAUGCCGCGUGUGUGAAGAAGGUCUUCGGAUUGUAAAGCACUUUAAGUUGGGAGGAAGGGCAGUAACUUAAUACGUUGCUGUUUUGACGUUACCGACAGAAUAAGCACCGGCUAACUCUGUG